rnacentral:rRNA from 1 species
UACGUAGGGAGCGAGCGUUGUCCGGAUUCAUUGGGCGUAAAGAGCUCGUAGGCGGCUUGAUUAGUCGGAUGUGAAACCUCCAGGCUCAACCUGGAGUCGCCAUCCGAUACUGUCAUGGCUAGAGUCCGGUAGGGGCCCACGGAAUUCCUGGUGUAGCGGUGAAAUGCGCAGAUAUCAGGAGGAACACCGGUGGCGAAGGCAGUUCUCUGGGCCGUAACUGACGCUGAGGAGCGAAAGCGUGGGGAGCGAACAGG